rnacentral:rRNA from 1 species
UACGGAGGGGGCUAGCGUUGUUCGGAAUUACUGGGCGUAAAGCGCACGUAGGCGGCUUUGUAAGUUAGAGGUGAAAGCCCGGGGCUCAACUCCGGAAUUGCCUUUAAGACUGCAUCGCUUGAAUUGUGGAGAGGUAAGUGGAAUUCCGAGUGUAGAGGUGAAAUUCGUAGAUAUUCGGAAGAACACCAGUGGCGAAGGCGACUUACUGGACACAUAUUGACGCUGAGGUGCGAAAGCGUGGGGAGCAAACAGG